GAUGAACGCUGGCGGCGUGCCUAAUACAUGCAAGUCGAGCGAACAGAUAAGGAGCUUGCUCCUUUGACGUUAGCGGCGGACGGGUGAGUAACACGUGGGUAACCUACCUAUAAGACUGGAAUAACUCCGGGAAACCGGGGCUAAUGCCGGAUAACAUUUAGAACCGCAUGGUUCUAAAGUGAAAGAUGGUUUUGCUAUCACUUAUAGAUGGACCCGCGCCGUAUUAGCUAGUUGGUAAGGUAACGGCUUACCAAGGGAACGAUACGUAGCCGACCUGAGAGGGUGAUCGGCCACACUGGAACUGAGACACGGUCCAGACUCCUACGGGAGGCAGCAGUAGGGAAUCUUCCGCAAUGGGCGAAAGCCUGACGGAGCAACGCCGCGUGAGUGAUGAAGGUCUUCGGAUCGUAAAACUCUGUUAUUAGGGAAGAACAAAUGUGUAAGUAACUGUGCACGUCUUGACGGUACCUAAUCAGAAAGCCACGGCUAACUACGUG
rnacentral:rRNA from 1 species